rnacentral:rRNA from 1 species
UACGUAGGGGGCAAGCGUUGUCCGGAUUUAUUGGGCGUAAAGGGCGCGCAGGCGGCGCUUCAAGUCCGUUGUGAAAUUUCAGGGCUUAACCCUGACGGGUCAACGGAAACUGAAGGGCUAGAGUGCAGCAGAGGAAAGCGGAAUUCCCGGUGUAGUGGUGAAAUGCGUAGAUAUCGGGAGGAACACCAGAGGCGAAAGCGGCUUUCUGGGCUGUAACUGACGCUGAGGCGCGAGGGCUAGGGGAGCAAACAGG